UUAUUGUGGUCUCUGUAGUGGUACUUUCUGGAGUGGUUGUGCCAGUGGUUGUACUUUCUGUCACUGUGGUGCUUUCUGGAGUCGUGGUACCGGUGGUGGUGCUUUCUCUUGUUCUUUCAGGUGUGGUACUUUCUGUUGUUGUGGUCUCUGUUGUUGUACUUUCUGGAGUGGUUCUGCCAGUGGUUGUACUUUCUCUCACUGUGGUGCUUUCUGUUGUUGUGCUUUCUGG